UACGUAGGGUGCGAGCGUUGUCCGGAAUUAUUGGGCGUAAAGGGCUCGUAGGCGGUGUGUCACGUCGGCCGUGAAAACCUGCAGCUUAACUGUGGGCGUGCGGUCGAUACGGGCAUCACUGGAGUUCGGCAGGGGAGACUGGAAUUCCUGGUGUAGCGGUGAAAUGCGCAGAUAUCAGGAGGAACACCGGUGGCGAAGGCGGGUCUCUGGGCCGAUACUGACGCUGAGGAGCGAAAGCGUGGGGAGCAAACAGG
rnacentral:rRNA from 1 species